CAGGUUGGCCGGGUGAUCGCGCCCCUGCAUCGUCAGGGGGGAGGAAAGUCCGCACUCCACAGGGCACGGUGCUGGCUAACGGCCAGGCGGGGCAACCCGACGGCAAGUGCAACAGAGAGCGAAUUGCCUCCUGUGCAUGGCACAGCGUGGUGAGGGUGAAAAGGUGGUGUAAGAGACCACCGGCGUCGGCAGUGAUGUCGGCGGCCAGGCAAACCCCACCGGGAGCAAGGCCAAGCAGGCGCAUUGGGGCGGCCCGUCCCGCAAAAAGCGCCGGGUGUGCUGCUUGAUCUCAUGGGGUAACCUGUGAGACAGAUAGAUGAUCGCUGCUCCUUCGGGAGAACAGAAUGCGGCUUACAAGCUGACCUGGACA
rnacentral:RNase_P_RNA from 1 species